rnacentral:rRNA from 1 species
GAGUUUGAUUCUGGCUCAGAAUGAACGCUGGCGGCGUGCCUAACACAUGCAAGUCGAACGAGAAAGUUCCUUCGGGGAUGAGUAUAGUGGCGCACGGGUGAGUAACGCGUGGGUGAUCUGUCCGGAAGUUUGGGAUAACCGGGCGAAAGUCUGGCUAAUACCGAAUUGUCGAAGUAUUUUUGAUGAUGCUUUGUAAAGGGUGCCUCUGAUUCAAGCAUCUGCUUUCGGGUGAGCCCGCGUAUCAUUAGCUAGUUGGUGGGGUAAAGGCUUACCAAGGCAACGAUGAUUAGCUGGUCUGAGAGGAUGAUCAGCCACACUGGAACUGGAACACGGUCCAGACUCCUACGGGAGGCAGCAGUGGGGAAUAUUGCGCAAUGGGCGAAAGCCUGACGCAGCAACGCCGCGUGGGGGAAGAAGGUUUUCGGAUUGUAAACCCCUGUCAGGAGGGAAGAAGUGUUUUAUGGUUAAUAGCCAUAGGAUUGACCGUACUCCANGGAGC